AGAGUUUGAUCCUGGCUCAGGAUGAACGCUGGCGGCGUGCUUAACACAUGCAAGUCGAACGAACCUUCGGGUUAGUGGCGGACGGGUGAGUAACGCGUGAGAAUCUGCCCUCAGGAGGGGGAUAACAGUUGGAAACGACUGCUAAUACCCCAUAUGCCGAGAGGUGAAAUGAAUUUCGCCUGGGGAUGAGCUCGCGUCUGAUUAGCUUGUUGGUGGGGUAAUAGCCUACCAAGGCUUCGAUCAGUAGCUGGUCUGAGAGGACGAUCAGCCACACUGGGACUGAGACACGGCCCAGACUCCUACGGGAGGCAGCAGUGGGGAAUUUUCCGCAAUGGGCGAAAGCCUGACGGAGCAACGCCGCGUGAGGGAUGGAGGCCUUUGGGCUGUAAACCUCUUUUCUCAAGGAAGAAGAUCUGACGGUACUUGAGGAAUAAGCCACGGCUAAUUCCGUGCCAGCAGCCGCGGUAAUACGGGAGUGGCAAGCGUUAUCCGGAAUUAUUGGGCGUAAAGCGUCCGCAGGCGGCCGUUUAAGUCUGUUGUUAAAUCGUGGAGCUCAACUCCAUCACGGCAAUGGAAACUGUUCGGCUUGAGUAUGGUAGGGGCAGAGGGAAUUUCCGGUGUAGCGGUGAAAUGCGUAGAUAUCGGGAAGAACACCAGUGGCGAAAGCGCUCUGCUGGGCCAUUACUGACGCUCAUGGACGAAAGCCAGGGGAGCGAAAGGGAUUAGAUACCCCUGUAGUCCUGGCCGUAAACGAUGAACACUAGAUGUUGGGGGGAUCGACCCCCUCGGUGUCGUAGCUAACGCGUUAAGUGUUCCGCCUGGGGAGUACGCACGCAAGUGUGAAACUCAAAGGAAUCGACGGGGGCCCGCACAAGCGGUGGAGUAUGUGGUUUAAUUCGAUGCAACGCGAAGAACCUUACCAAGGCUUGACAUCCUGCGAAUCUCUAAGAAAUUAGAGAGUGCCUUCGGGAACGCAGUGACAGGUGGUGCAUGGCUGUCGUCAGCUCGUGUCGUGAGAUGUUGGGUUAAGUCCCGCAACGAGCGCAACCCACGUUUUUAGUUGCCAGCAUUCAGUUGGGCACUCUAGAAAGACUGCCGGUGACAGACCGGAGGAAGGUGUGGACGACGUCAAGUCAUCAUGCCCCUUACGCCUUGGGCUACACACGUACUACAAUGCUGCGGACAAAGAGUAGCGAUCUUGCGAAAGUUAGCUAAUCUCAUAAACCGUGGCUCAGUUCAGAUCGUAGGCUGCAACUCGCCUACGUGAAGGAGGAAUCGCUAGUAAUCGCAGGUCAGCAUACUGCGGUGAAUACGUUCCCGGGCCUUGUACACACCGCCCGUCACACCAUGGAAGUUGGCAUGCCCGAAGUCGUUACUCUAACCUUUUGGAAGAGGGCGCCGAAGGCAGGGCUAAUGACUGGGGUGAAGUCGUAACAAGGUAACC
rnacentral:rRNA from 1 species